rnacentral:lncRNA from 10 species
GGCGGGGGGGCCUUCCCCCGGGAGCAGACAAACCCACACAGACAGGACCUUUACCCCACCCUCCAGCCUGCUGUGAAGCUGUUGGAUUCCAGGCAAGAGGUCCGAGCUGGGAAGUCCUGCGCGCCGCCCCCGUCACUCAGCCGGCGGCGCCAUCCGAGCAGAGCAGCUGGGGGAGAGGAGACGUCCCCUCGCCCCGACUGGUGACCCGGGCAGGGGGCGCCCCCUGCCCUGAAGUCCCCGCGUCUAAGUCCGCCGGCCGCUCCGCCAGUCCCGGUGAAAAGCAGGGAAGUUGUGUGUGCUGGGAGGGGGGGUCCGUCGGCUCUCCCAGGGAAGCCUGGCGGGGCCCGGGAACUCAGCGGCUUCACCUCGAGGGGACUCCCGUCUAGAGUCUCGUGGCGUCCGAGGCAGAGUACAGCGGCUCCCCAAGUCCGCAGGCCGGGGGCGGGAUCAGCGCGGGGCUGGGGGUCAACGAGCACUUCCUCCUCCCAGCCGGGGAUCCGGGGCUUCUCCAGGGAUUCUCCGUGGCGAGGAUUCCGGGUGGGGGUGGGGAUCCCGCGCGGUUCCGCCCCCGCCAGGCCAGGGGCAGCUGGCGACUCGCUCGGUCUCUGGUGGUACGCGCCACGGCCCCCCCACCCCAGCUCUGCGCGCCCCCUCCCCUCCGGGCACCACCCCCUUUCCACCGCCCCGCCCCGUCCAGGCACCGCCCCUGGCUUAACCCAUUCCCGGCGCGUCCGGCUGCAGCGGGAGAAACGCAGGGAACCGAGAGGGAGAGGCGGCAUGUGGACAGGCCGGGCCUCAUUUGCCUAAUGCAAUGCGGCUGAACUCUCGCUGAACUCGCCUGGCGGCGCCUCACCUCCGAGUGACCCACCCACCGCUGCCCGUGACAUCACCCGCUCGCCAGCCCGCCCGCGGGGCUCGCCCGCCAGCCCCCUGCCCGGCCGAACCGGGCCACCUCCCCCGGAGACGCGGAGAGCGGCGGCAGGAGGCGUAGGGCCGGGUCGCGCGGGGCCAAGUGUUUGGCACCCGGGUGUGACAUUGUGCAGCUCGGACGCUGUGUCGGAAUGAGACACCGGCUUGUGUCAUUGUCUGUGACAUCAUGUGUGACUCCGGCCGCCGGAACCCGACGCGGCAGCGCGGGUGCUGUUGGCACAAACACAGGCAGAGGGGGCCCUCCUCCCCACGCUCUGCGUGCUUCCGGCGAGCAAAGCCCCGCCCAAGGUGUCUCCUAGCUGGGGAACCAGUACCGGCCCCUGGUGCACUGUCCAGCUCUGGAGAGAUAAAAGGAAGAGCUGGUGCCUUCCAGUGGACUACUUCAUCCUAGAAGCCCUCGGGAUGCACGUUUCACUGGAAGAAAGGCCUAGCUUGGGUAGGUCCCUAGAAAGAGGGGAUACCCCUGGAGGAGGGGGUAUCCUAUUACCCCCACUCUCUAAAAGGAAGGAUGGAAAUGUACAUGCUACCCAAGGACAUUCUUCUAGAAGAAGCCUGGCUCUUUAUAUAUGUUGUCAUUUUAUCCUCA